rnacentral:rRNA from 1 species
GAUAACUACCAUACCACCCUAUACAUACUGUACCUGAUUUUAUCUGUUUUCAGAAGCUAAGUAUGGUUAGACCUGGAUAGUAUUUGGUUGAAAGACCACCAGGGAUCUCCAGAUAGAACUAGGCA